rnacentral:rRNA from 1 species
GACGAACGCUGGCGGCGUGCUUAACACAUGCAAGUCGAGCGGUAAGGCCCUUUCGGGGGUACACGAGCGGCGAACGGGUGAGUAACACGUGGGUGACCUGCCCUUAGCUCUGGGAUAAGCCUGGGAAACUGGGUCUAAUACCGGAUAUGACUCCAUGACGCAUGUUGUGGGGUGGAAAGCCUUGUGCGGCUAGGGAUGGGCCUGCGGCCUAUCAGCUUGUUGGUGGGGUGAGGCCUACCAAGGCGACGACGGGUAGCCGGCCUGAGAGGGCGACCGGCCACACUGGGACUGAGACACGGCCCAGACUCCUACGGGAGGCAGCAGUGGGGAAUCUUGCGCAAUGGGCGAAAGCCUGACGCAGCGACGCCGCGUGGGGAUGACGGCCU